AUAAAAAUUCACAUACCUUAUCUUUGCGUCACUCUCACCAUUGUCAUUGUUUAUCACGUGUCUGAUAAGAAAAUCGAUAUUUAAGCCCUUCCAUUGAAACAAUUGCCAAUUACAAAUUUUAUUUAGUAUCAAUCUUCUUAUCAAAUUAAGAACAACCAACAAUGAAUUUCACAAAUAAAUUCUUUUAUUUUGCGGUUUUUUGCAUCUUUUUGAUGACUUUUGUCCAAUAUUCGAAUGGGAAGGUAAUUUUACCAAAAGUUGAAGCCACAAAUCAAAGCGUUGAAGAACUUUCAGUCACAGAAGUAAGUGAAAGUAGAAAUAUUAUCGAUGUACCGUUAAAUUGCCCUCCGGGGUAUGUUGCAUCUCACACGGGAAAGUGUCGAAAGGAAUGGAAUUGAUGAUUUAAGGCUUUAAAACAGCAGUUAACUAAUAAAAAUUUGUCAGGACCUUCGAUAUGAGAAACGACUUUUGACGAGAGCUGGCUUUCUUUGCGACGUUUCUUUCUGACACUGAAAAAAAAAUAAAUUUUUAUUAAAAUUUAUAAAAAUUUAAGUAAAAUUUAGAUAAAAACUUACAUUUUUAAUGUUGUAAA